rnacentral:tRNA from 1 species
CAAAUUAGAGCUUGAUUAAGCAUUUUAGUUACAUUAAAAAGUUUGUUGUAAAUUCAACAUGAUUUGA